UUUAAUUUUCAUAUUAGGUUACGUCGGACCAAACUUUAUUUUUCAUAUUGGGUACCUUAGAUGUAACUCGAAAUCUUGGGGUAAGGUUACGCUAGACACUGCGUUGAAAGAUGCACUUUUAUUUUUUUGAAAAGUAUUCUUUAACUUACGGCAGUGGCGAAUAGCACUUGUGUUGAUGAGAUGUUUUGAUUCCGCAUGUCCGGAAAGUUGCCGGGGCAGCUGUCGACUAUCUAUAUAGGACGGUAAUGUUGCAGGUACAAAAGUGAAUAAUACACCGUGUUGAAUAUUUAUUUAUUGGUCUUUUUCGGCAGUGCCGCUUGUGCCUGGACAAUGGAAGAUGAUGCAAAGGCCAAAAGAAAGCUACUCUGCAUCUGCACUCUGAAUAAUGUGAUGUCUCGGUAGCUACACAUGCUUUGUUAAAGGGAAGUUUAUUUCGCCACUUGCUAGGCAUCAUUGAGCAAGGUGAUCAUGCAGACGGCGACGCAAUGAAGCGUGGAAAUGGGCACCUAAGAGCUGCACUCUAAACCAGUUUUUCUCUGUUGCCGGUGCACAAGCAGGUAAUGUGCAUCCAACGUUCCACUGGAUCUGUCCGAAGGGCAGGCUGAUACUGCGGCAGACGCCACUGAGCGGACACACUGCAAAAAGGCGUCGGGCGUUUUCCGAAGUUUGUCAACUGACCUAGAUCUGAGAACGUUGGUACAUGUAUUGCUACCGUUGCCAAGCAGGACUGGAGAUUGUUAGAGUGUGAACAAUGUUCACACUUUGGUCAAUGCAAGCACAUCUUUUUUUUUUUAGUAAUAUUGACUAACAAGAUUGCAGCAAUCAAACAAGUUAACACCGAAAUGUUAAAAGCAAUAAAGAAAUUAAAGCCCG